rnacentral:misc_RNA from 1 species
GAUGAAGAACGUAGCGAAAUGCGAUAAGUAAUGUGAAUUGCAGAAUUCCGUGAAUCAUCGAAUCUUUGAACGCACAUUGCGCCCCCUGGCAUUCCGGGGGGCAUGCCUGUCCGAACGUCAUUUCUGCCCUCAAGCACGGCUUGUGUGUUGGGUGUGGUCCCCCCGGGGACCUGCCCGAAAGGCAGCGGCGACGUCCGUCUGGUCCUCGAGCGUAUGGGGCUCUGUCACUCGCUCGGGAAGGACCUGCGGGGGUUGGUCACCACUAUAUUUUACCACGGUUGACCUCGGAUCAGGUAGGAGUUACCCGCUGAACUUAAGCAUAUCAAUAAGCGGAGGA